CACAAUAACAUAUGAAGGCUGUACGCGGCUAUGCCCUCGGGCGAGUUGGCGGAGGCUGGAGUAUUUAUCACCCUUGUCUUUUGCGCACUUGUUGUUUCCUGGGCGGGUUCGCCCGCCACCAGGACCACCAUGAUAAACCUUUUUUAUGCAGUUGCAAUCAGCGUCAGUACAACCAAUGUAAAUCAUUUA
rnacentral:misc_RNA from 1 species